AUGCCAUGAUGUGGGCAUUUCCUUGUUAAUUCCUUGUACCUCUCCCAAUCUUCAAGGACUGUUUCAUCAUCCAUUUGUCUAAAAAGACAAAUUUUAUUUCUGAAUGA